rnacentral:rRNA from 1 species
UGGGGAAUAUUGCACAAUGGGGGAAACCCUGAUGCAGCGACGCCGCGUGAGUGAAGAAGUAUUUCGGUAUGUAAAGCUCUAUCAGCAGGGAAGAAGAUGACGGUACCUGCAGAAGCAGCCCCGGCUAACUACGUGCCAGCAGCCGCGGUAAUACGUAGGGGGCAAGCGUUAUCCGGAUUUACUGGGUGUAAAGGGAGCGUAGACGGAUUAGCAAGUCAGAUGUGAAAGGCGGGGGCUUAACCCCUGGAUUGCAUUUGAAACUGCGGAUCUUGAGUACCGGAAGGGCAGAUGGAAUUCCUGGUGUAGCGGUGAAAUGCGUAGAGAUCAGGAGGAACACCGGUGGCGAAAGCGGUCUGCUGGACGGUAACUGACGUUGAGGCUCGAAGGCGUGGGGAGCAAACAGG